UACGUCACACAGCCAGGAUUGGUGUGCUACAAGCGAGAGAACAAAAGGCCUACUCACCGCUCCUCCCUCUUCCUGCUGCAUUCCUCCCAGAGGCACUUUGACCUCCCCCAGAAACCCCCACUGAGCUCCAGUAUCUGCUAACCCUCCCCUGAGCACACACAGAGAGACAGAGAGAGGGACGGGGGAGGAGGGGAGGCACACAGAGACACACAGGCUGAAACACGCUAUCUGUUCUAACACUCACGGCAGCAACAACCUCCUCGGCUGAACGCAGACAGUUAGCUGGAGCUACAGCAUGGACUCCUGAAGCCGCUCCUCAGCUGCUGGUAUUGAAGCCUGAGCAGAAGGACAGAGACAGAAGGAUGGAGACCAUCAGAAACAAGCCUACAAACAAGAGCUGACGGCUGCGGAUAAACUCUUCAAAAUCUAACAGGGUUUAUUUGCCCACAUUCUCAAGAUUGAAGAGACGGAGGGGAGUGCUGCUUCACCUCAUUCACAAUCAUUUACAGUCAGUCUACCAGUGUUCCCAAAAGCUCCACAUUUCACAGUCAAGGUAUUUUAGUAAAACAGCCAAGACUGUUUUUAAGUGAUUAAACUGUGUUAUUUAUUUUCA